rnacentral:piRNA from 1 species
UGUAAAAGUAGAGUGCCAGGGCUAGUGCA